GACAGAGGGUGCAAACGUUGUUCGGAAUUACUGGGCGUAAAGCGUGUGUAGGCGGCUAGGUAAGUCGGAUGUGAAAGCCCCGGGCUCAACUCGGGAAGUGCACCUCGAUACUGGCUUAGCUCGAGUACCGGAGAGGGUUGGUGGAAUUCUCGGUGUAGGAGGUGAAAUUCGUAGAUAUCGAGAGGAACACCGGUGGCGAAGGCGGCCAACCUGGACGAGUACUGACGCUGGAGACACGAAAAGCGUGGGGAGCAAACAGGAAUUAGAUCC
rnacentral:rRNA from 1 species